AUUCGAAAAACAUGGUCAAGGAAGGCUUCGCAGAGAAGGUGAUAUUUGAACAAACACCUAAAGGAGAGAAGAAGGACGUUCCAGGAAGAAGGAAUAGCAUGUACAAAGGCCAUGGGGGGAGAAUUUCCUGCGGAUGGGCUAUGAACAGCAAGUGGCCAGCGUGGCCAGAUAAUCUAGGAGAGCAAGCAGCUUAAACCAGGCAGGAAGCUGUAUAAAAAGAAUUGCCAAAGCCUCUUUCAGCGCUUGGAACAAGAAACAUGAAAAAAUGGCUUUAAAACCUGGAACACUAUGAGGGGAACACAGCAUGAGAAUGACUCACAGGC